ensembl:lncRNA
CUCUCCCUCCCACUCUCCCCAGGCUAUUGCUGUUUAUGAACCGAGCUUUUGUUUAAUUGGUUACAGCAAACAGGGAAAUAAAUAACACCAAUACUCAGUCUGUCUCUAGUGACUCCCAGAUGGCCAUGGUGAGCAAGCUUUACUCUACAAGCAGCCCUCAGGAAAAGUUUGUAAGCCUGCUAUGAGGGAAAAAGCACACAGACUUCCAGCUCCACUACAGAGGACUGCAUUUCUGCUGUACUUUAGUAAGGGGAAUGAGAGUUGCACAAGACAAUGCUCAUUAAUCAGAAUGAGAGGAAGGUGUUUGUGCCCCUGAUGAAGACCAGCAGUGCUAGCCCUGUGAGGUAAAGCCAUGAGAAUCCAAAAGCCUUCUUCAAGACGUCAGCAGAUGGCCACCUGGUAGAAGGACAUUUAGUGUUAUGCCUCACCUCCAAACUCACUGAUGAAUUGAUGCCUUACACACCUUCUUCUAGCCUUCCAAAGAACCAUUCAUCACGGGAGGCAGGACAGCAGGCAACCUGGCUAAGUGGCACAAUAAGCAAAUCCUGUCUCUUGAGAGGUGUAUUCUGCACAGCUUCCAGCACACAUGCAGGUCUCCAUCUGCAGCCGUGCUGAGCCAGCCCUCCCCUGGAUGGGUGUGGGGAAGGAAGCUUUGGCUGCAUUUUUCCCCCUGAGGCUGAUAUGAUAUAUUAGGUGGAGGUGACACAUGGGUCAAGUGAGCACCUGUUCUCCCAAGGCCUCAGGGAGCCUUACUAACAUGGGAAGAAUUUAUUUUAACAGCUAGAAUCUGGGGGAGAUUAUCACUACACAUUCUCUCCCUGGGAGUUGUAAACUGCUGGAAUUCACGUCUGCCCUUUGGGAUGCUGAACAGAAGAGAGGAAAGGUCUCUCUACAAGGGCAGGAGGAAGGGCUUUGGCUCUAUAAAGCCAGGCUCUGUGUUAGCUUUCACUGUGGAUUACAGAAGUUGAUGGAUAUUCUUGGUAUGUUAAGGGUGACAACGAAAACUCUCCACCAAGAAAGCUGGAGUACAGAGCUGAGACCAUUUUGUGUAAUCCAUAGGAUUUGUCAUUUUGUUAAGACAAGGGAUAACUUCCAUUUAAUAAUCGCUCGGAAAGAAGCAGGUAAUGCCUCAUGUCACUGUUCAAGGAGCAUUUGGAUAAUGCCCUCAAUAAUACACUUCAGGUUCUGUUUAGCCCUGAAGCGGCCAGACAGCUGGACAAGAUGAUUUCUGAACGUCCCUUCCAACUCAACUAUUCUACACAAGAAUUGAAGAUCCCUUCUAAUUUUGCAGCACCUGCAUAAAGUUAAUUGUUGUCCUUGCUCCAUCUUCCAAUGUCUGGACAUGCAGUGCAGAGACCCAAGCUGGUGUUUGCACCUUUUCAAGGGUGACCUCUAGGCUCAAGUAGUGAUGGAAACAAGAGAGGAAGUAAGUUUUGGACAUCAUUUUGGGGUAGGAAGAUAAACUAGCAUUUGGUCACACAAAAACACAUUGAACAAUUUGAAUGUCUGAACUGCUUUCUAGGAAAAGGGAACAGGGAAGAGACAAACAGUCAGGAUGGGGGGAAUCAGCAUAUUUCCCCACUUGUCUUUAAAAUGUUGCUUUUAGCUGUGGCUUGAAAUGACUCUUCUAAUGUUUCCUUUAAUAUCUUUGUCUUACUCAGACUAGUUUUAGUAGUCAAAAAAGCUACUCUUUCUCUGGCCCCAAAUGAAAGUCAUUUUGUUGAUCUGGUUUCCAUUUAACUAAAAAAAUAAAAAAAUAAAAAAGUGGGUUAUUCGCCAGCCCUUGGAAUUGCUGCUCUCCUCUCAUUCCUACUUCUGGCACUAUUGGCAUCAAUUCAGCAGAUGAACAGAGGAUUUCAAUCUUCUAAAGCUGCCAAUCCUGCACCUUUCAAAAACACCAACUGCACUUUCUAUGAUAGCAAUGAAUCCCUGAGCUGGUGACGGCAGAGCCCACAGCCUGUGCCAGAAGCAGAAUCCAGGGUGAGAAGCCUGAGCAGCUCUGUGGAAAUCAGUCAUGUCCACCUUGUUUUCCACUGGGAUCAGCUGAACUCAUCCCAGCCUCUCCUGAUCCCUAGAUGUAAGCACAGGCUGUGUCAUUUGGCCCAAGGACUUUGCUCAUCAGGAGCCUGGCUCAUUCAACUGUUGGAGAGCGCUUGGAGCAGCGUUCCCUCCUCUGUGUAGUGAGACAAAGGCAGGGAGAGUGGGAGCGAUGUUUCUCAAUACAACUUCUGCCAAGCAAACUUCUGCCUUUCCUGCCAAAUGUGCCCACCUCGAAGGAAUAACACCCUUACACCACCUGCGGCUGCUGUUUCUGCAGCAGAGUGCCACUUGCUUGGACAUGGCUGGUUUCCACCAUGGAAAAUAAAUAGAAGUCGCUCCCAGUGGCAGAGAUUCCUCUGGGAAGAGGCACUGCACAGAGACAAGAUGACUGGAUCACUCAGACUCCUUCACCAGCAGCAAUCUGUCCUCCUCUCCCCUGCAGUCCCAGUGGGUCUGGAUAAGUCCCUGCACACCCGAAAACCUUUAUUUGAGGCCAUAUUAACAACACCUCCCCCCAGCUUCUGUGCAGCUGUCCCAUUGAUGCCAAGAAGGGAUAGCCAUGGUAAUUAAAAGGUAGCAAAGCUCCUCGUCUACAUGAACAGGGGACGAGUCAAUACAGUUCAAUCUGCUGCUGAAUUGACUGCAAUCAAUUUCUCUUUCUGCCCAUCCAAGGCUGCUGCUGUAAAGCACUCACAGUCUGAUCAAUGGUGACCUUGAGAGCAAUGAAGAGAGACAAAGCCACACUGCAAACUGAAGGAGGGACAGAGUGAGCCUUGGGAGCAAGUAGACAUUAAAGGAAAGGUAGAGCAUAGCCUUCUUCUAGAGCAAAGCAGAGGCACGCUGCAGUUGCAUGGCAUCAGCCAGGGAAGCAUCCUACACAUAGGAAUGCAUUCUUCCACCAGCCCUCCAGAAAGAGCAAUGUGAUCACCCCACUAACAGUCUGCAUCAUGAGAAAGAGGGCUUAACCACAGGGUGAGAUGGUUCUCACCCAAAAUACAUUAGAAAUGAUACUGAUAUAUCACCACUCCUUAUUUCUCAUCUCCAUGCUGCAGGAAUGGAACACUCAAAGACAGCGCCAGGCAUCCGAGGCAGCCCAGCAUCUACACUUAGCUUUAGGAUGAGUCUGCCCAUCUCAGGCAGCUCCUGCAGAGAUGUCCAAAGAAAUAAAAUAAGAUUGUGUCUUAGCACUUUCUCUCACACUCCCGACCAGCUCCAUCCCAACCCAAUCACUGGUAAUGAAUUAAUAAUUAAUCAAUCACUACCUGAUUUCAUUUUCAGCUUGCAAGAUGAGAAAAAGAAAUGAGAUCUUAAAAUAAUACUCUGCAAUGGGUUGUGUCUGUCUCUAGCAAAUGCAAUUUAACUGCCUUAAUGAAAUGCUAAUUGGUAGAAAAUAUAUAUAAAAAACAUCCUGAAUACUACUCUAAUUAAAUUUCCUUCUUCCAGAUCUGCAAAGCAAAAUGCUCAGCGCAGAAAGAACAGUAAACAGGCACAAAAGCUGUCCUUUUCAAGAGAGGGUAAAAUUACAAAGAACGGAACGAGGGUUCUUCGGGAAUAACACCAUUGUUGUUCCUAAUUGUGUGCGUGUGUUGUGUGCGCAUGUGGCAUAGCAAAAUAAAAACGAUGUUUAUAGAGAGCUGCCUGCUUCUUUGCUGAUGGACUGGAGGCGCUGAUCCGACAAUUAAAGCAUCGUCUCAGUAAUAGCCAUAAAUAAACAGGCAGCAUUAGAACAGACUUGCAAUAAAGAUGAUAUUAAAAGCAGAACAAAAUGAGAAGCAGCGCUGAAUGGGAAGGGGUGAAGUGUAAGUCACGUUGAUUUGUUCUUUCUUGCAGAUAAGGAAACAAUGAGAUGUCCUUACUGUGGACCCCCAGCACUCAGCAAAGCUGUUAUAAAAAAAAGAGUGAAGGACAAGUCUCUAACAAGGGGUGAUGAGCUUGUAAAUAGCUUUUAAUCAGAAAGAGGGGGAAAGAAAGGGAGUAAAGAGCUGGUUAGAAGUCUUCUAUGCAAACUUGUGUAGGAAAAUAUUGAUCUGUCAAAAUCUUGGGUUCUUGCAGGCCAGGGUCAGCUCCAACCCAUCUUCCGUAAUUCAUAGAAGUUCUGAAUUGCCAGAAACGUGACACUGUCAGAAUGUCAAGUUCCCAGUUUCAAGCUGGGAUAGCUUUUCAUAUAGAAAUUGUAUGUAGCUACAAUAAGAGGAAAAAAGAUUUAAGAAAGAAAAACCAACAUAGAAACAAUACCUCGAUUACCAGCACAAAAUGCCAGCUGACCUAACACAGCUAACCAUCCACUCCCCACAAGUGACUGACCUAGGAACACUUCUGAAGUUCAAAGCCUUCUUCCUCCUUUGGAGAGAAGUUCUGACACUCCAAAAACUCCCAAGUAGGAGAGCAGAGCAGCAUCCUCUGCUGUGAUGGACGUGCUGCAGCACGGACUUAUCCAUACCAAUUCCAUUAGCAGGACAUUGUCUGUCACUCAGGUGCAGCAUCAGGAUUCUCCAGCAAACACCAUCACUGCCAGCAGCUUGAGUCUGGUAGUCCCUAUGGACAGCACAUUGCACUUGCUCCAGGCCCUAUCUAUAGUACCAUCUUUAAACCCAAUGUGCCAGCAUAGAGACUUUAAAUGCCUUUGUAAAUAGCCUUUCCAGCUGAGUGUAAUUACCUUAAUUAAAACCCCACCUCAUCCUUCUGACUGGAAUGGUACAUACAAUUGCUGUGUUUAUCUUAAUGAUCUCAUUAGCAGCAGGAUCAGAAAGUCCUACAGACCUCUGCUGAUGGGCUGAGACCUGGAUGAGUAUCAGGUGAGAAGUCACACCUCUGCCUCUGGGGAGGAGUAUGUGGGCUGAGGUUUUGGGCUGGAUGAGUGGAAGAGGUGUCUUUAUCUUCUGUUUUAUGCAAGCCUUGCUAAUUUCUGGCUCCCCUGUUCUUUCAUGGCAUUGG